AACGGCCGCGGUAUCUUGACCGUGCAAAGGUAGCAUAAUCAUUAGUCCUUUAAUAUGGGGCUGGCAUGAAGGGUUUAACGAGGAACUAGCUGUCUCAAUUUGAUUUAUUAAAAGUUAGCUUUUUAGUUAAAAGGCUAAAAUUUUGUUGGAAGACGAGAAGACCCUAUAGAGCUUUACAUUUACAUUCUGUAGGAUUAAUUUUGUUUUAUUUAUAUACUUCUUUGUUUAGGUGUUUUGUUGGGGUGACAUUAAAUAUAUAUUUAACUUUUAUUGUUCGGGAACCAUUUAUUUAUGAGUAUUUGAUCCAUUUUUAAUGAUCUUUAGAAUAAGUUACCUUA
rnacentral:rRNA from 2 species